rnacentral:tRNA from 1 species
AGCCCCGUGGUGAAGAGCACAUCAGAUUGCAAACCUGAAGGCGCAGGUUCACAGCCUGCCGGGGCU